CUUGUCCCUGCAGGUGGUGAAGGAGCGGCUGCUGUGCCACGCCAUCAUCGGCAGCAAGGCAGGGAGGAAGCAGCGGAUCAUGCAGGCGGACAUC